GCCUUCGUGGCGUAGUGGUCAGCACGCUCGGCGUUUAUUCGAGAGGUCCUGGUUUGAAUCCUGGUGAGGGUA
rnacentral:tRNA from 1 species